CGCAUAUAGGAGAGAAACAAAAAGAGAUUCAUCCCUUCGGCCGCCAUACGAGGCAAAGCCGCAAAGCAGCUCGGAGCCAUGGCGAUGGCGGAGGCGGGAGGACGGAUUCAAGUUUCUGUCAGAUUCUGUUGAUAUAUUCCCCCUGCUGGAUCUUGGCGGCGGCCAGUCCAUAAUCGAUGCUGAAGCCAGCGGAACUCUGGUUUGUAUAGCCGCGCAGUCCAGCAUUGGUGAUGCGGGCGACGCAGCCGAUAGUACAAUUCAAUUUGAACAGCAGUUGCAAAAGAUUGAGCUUGUCACAGCCCAUCUCAGAGCAGUCAACCGGAAAGGGCGAUCCUGGACGAAGAGGGUCCAUGUUGGGCAUGCAUCUCUUGAACGGCCAACCUUUGCUGGCAGAAUAAGUGUGUUGGAGAAAACAGUGAGAUGUUAUGCAGAGAAGAAGACUGAUACUGUGGUAAUUCCUCAAGUCGAAGACAACUUUGAUUCACUAGGAGAAGCAUAUGACUAUUACAAUUUAUAUUCCUGAGAAAUUGGAUUUGGAGUUAGAUACGGAAAAAGCAGAUUGAACAUUGAGAGAACAAAAUGUAUGCAGCAGAUAGUCUGCAGCUGCUCAGAUCGAUAAUUCGAGC